GGCCGAGAGACACAGUCCCACUCUGCCCGAUCGCCUCAGAACACUGAUUGGAAACUGGAGAUCGAUGCUCCUCGCGUGCAGCAGGGGAGGAGAGGGACGCGACAGCCCAUCCGCUCGUUUACACAGACGCCCCCAUCCACUCGCAAUCGGUCUACCCGUUUCCCACCGGCUGGACCUCCCCAUGCCCGAGCCAGUGUGUGGAGGCGAGACAAGCCUACUGUUCCGCCAGCGUCCGUUCGGUGAGGAGUCGCUUGCUGGGCAGAUUAGACAGGGUAACAGUUUGGAAGGACGCGGCACGACGUGGACAAAACAGACCCUCGGUCUAUGUUCCCCGGCGUGGAUGUAUGGGCAGAGAGAGAAUACAACCUGAACCUGCUGUGCAGAACUGGCUUUUCAGGCUACCUUUGAUUCAACGCAUUUUGUUGACGGUCAGUCCUCCCUAGUCCUGGAUCCAAAGCUCUCUGCCUCCCCCCCGGCCCCAGACGACUCCCCCCCACACCCAGGCACCAUGACCCAGGAAGGGCAGGGACACCCCCAGACUGAACCCCCUACACCCCCAGACAGCCAGGGGGAGACCCCAGCCCACCCUGCAGAGAAGCCAGCCACAGUCCAAGGGCUAGAGGGGCAAGAUCUGGAGGUGGAGGGGAUAGAGGGGACCAAUCAGGAGGAAGGGGAGGAAAGUGUCACGGUACAAAGGGAAGUACACAGAGAAAGAGAAGGUGAUGAAAGUGGAAAGGGAGAGGGUGAUGAGGUAGGUGAGGGAGUGGAACAAGUGAUGCAGGGAGAAGGAGAGGUGCAUGAAGAGAGAGAGAGUAUGGUAGAGACAAGUGAUGAAGAAGAUGGAGUGGGGGAUGAGAGGAUAGAUGCUGAGGAUGGUCAGCCAGAUGGAGAGAUAGAGAGAGAGGAGGAGAGGGAAGAAAGGGAGGAGGAGGUGGAGAAGGAGGGGGAUAACAUGAAUAAAGAGGCCACAGAGGAGGCAGAACCAGCCUGCGAGCCCAGCUGUGAGGAGGAGGAGGAGGAGGAGAAGGGUAAGGAGGAGUUACCUCCACCACCACCACCUGAGGAUCUGGAAGAAGACCAGGACCAGGACCAGGACUUACCAGACCCACCACAGUCUCUGGACAUAGUCAGGCUGGAGAACGGGAUAGGACCUGAGAACGGAAUCAAAGGGUAUGAAGAGGAGGAUGAUGAAGAGGAUGAAGAUGUGGGAGAAGGAGACGGCUUAGUAGAGGUCAUCCAGGAACACCUGGACAUGUUCAGCUCCACUUUCGAGUGUUCCGUAGAGCUGGCGGACACAGAGGUGGAAGAGGAGGAGGAGGAGGAGGAGGAGGAAGGGGAGGGGAGGGGGAACCAGGACAGUUUCAGCUCUGUGUUUGAACGCAUCGUGGAGCAUGUUGUGGCCAUAGAGGGGGAGGAAGAGGAAGAUGAGGAAGAGGGGGAGGGAGAGAGGGAGAAGAGCAGGGUGGACAACAAGGACGGCUUCAGCUCGACGUUUGAGCGUAUCGUUGAGUCUGCACUUCUUCGCGGGGGGACGUGCUACAGUAGUCUGGACUCCCUGGACGUCCUGUCACUCACAGAUGAGACUGACAGCUGUGUCAGCUUCGAGGCUCCGCUCACCCCCCUCAUCCAGCAGAGGUCCUUCCUCCAGAGCCCUGAGCCUCUGGAGCUGGAACUAGCCACCGUCAUGGAGCAGGAGGGAAGCGAGGCUGGACCCGAGGCCCAGCGAGGUGAGCCCGAGGCUGGGGAGAGUGCUGCAGGCCCUGGGCCUGGAUCUGGAGGAAGCCCACUGCGGACCACCAUCACCGGGACCAGGUCGGAGUUUGUACUGAGCCAGCCUGGCCGGUGGGCCAUCCCGAACGGGUUUCACAUGGACAGCCAGGGGGGAGCAGAUUGUUCUGGAGCCAUACCCAACUCUAUGAGUGAUGCCAACGACACGGAUGUGCUGUCGGACUCUGAGUCGGAGCUGGGCGGUCUAGAGCAGCUGGAGAGAGGCAGCACGGACACCCUGUCCAACGGUUGCCGUGCCGACUGUAACGCCGCCAAACGCCUGGCCAAGCGCCUGUUCUACCUGGAGGGCUUCAAACGCUGCGAUGUGGCACGCCACCUGGGCAAGAAUAAUGAGUUCAGCCAGCUGGUGGCGUCAGAGUACCUCAGCUUCUUUGAUUUCUCUGGCCUGUCAUUGGACAAGGCCCUGAGGAACUUCCUGAAAGCCUUUCCUCUGAUGGGGGAGACCCAGGAGAGAGAAAGGAUCCUGGUCCACUUCUCUAAGAGGUUCUGUGUCUGCAACCCCACAGCCCUCGCCCCCGAAGGAAAGGACAUAUCCAAACGGAAUGAUGAUGAUGAUGAUGAAGAUGAUGACGGAGCCCAUACGUUAACCUGCGCCCUGAUGCUGCUCAACACUGAUCUACAUGGACACGUGAACAUUGGGAAGAAGAUGUCUUGCCAGCAGUUCAUCAGUAAUCUGGAUAGCCUAAACGACGGUAAAGACUUCCCUAAAGACCUAUUAAAGGUGCUGUAUAAUUCAAUAAAGAACGAGAAGCUUGAAUGGGCAAUUGAGGAAGAGGAGUUCAGGAAGAGUCUAUCGGAGCUGGUGGAGGAGCAGUGUGAGGGAGGGGGGAAGAGGGGGGUUGCCAGGGUAACAGAUGGCAAUAACCCUUUCAUCGCCAUCCCCAUCCUACUCAACGCUGUCACCUAUAAACAUGGUGUCCUGACCCGCAAGAGCCACGCAGACAUGGACGGCAAACGCACCCCACGAGGACGGCGAGGCUGGAAGAAGUUCUAUGCGGUUCUAAAGGGGAUGAUCCUUUAUCUCCAGAAGGAUGAGUAUAAGGCUGAUGCAGAGCUGUGUGAGGGGGACCUGAAGAACGCUGUGCGUAUCCACCAUGCGUUAGCCACCCGCGCUACAGACUACAGCAAAAGACCCAACGUCCUUAAACUAAAGACCUCUGACUGGAGGGUGUUCCUGCUGCAGGCACCGAGUGAGGAGGAGAUGAUGUCGUGGAUAUUCCGUAUUAACCUGGUAGCAGCUCUGUUCUCUGCCCCGGCCUUUCCUGCUGCCAUCGGCUCCAUGAAGACGUUCUGUAGACCGCUACUGCCCUCCUCCUCUACCCGGCUAAACCAGGAGGAGCAGCUGCAGUUUCACGAGGGGAAGCUGAAGCAGAUGAGUAUGGAGGUGGAGGAACACAGGAAGAGCCCGCCCUCGCCUUCUCCCAAGAGCAGAGAGUGGGAGGAGUACCGAAUCAAAGAGCACUACCUCAUAUAUGAGAAGAGUCGGUAUGAGACGUAUAUAAACCUGCUCCAGGCCAAGAUGAGGGCAGAGACAGACGACCUGGAGAAGAUAGAGGCUAGCGUGAUGAGCGGGAUCUGGGAGGGCCUAGGGGGGCGCGAGGGCUACCUCCGGAAGACCCAGUCCUCUCCUUCCAUCAGCCAGCACAGUCUCAAUGGCAAGGCCUCCGGACGCACUGCCCCGGGCCAGCGGAGUUGAGAGGAGACCCCCUUAAAAACAUCAUCAUGCACCCCCCUGUAACUGUCCUCUGAGCCAAAGGGCUCACCUCCCCUUAAUGCCUAAGCACUGGACCCUCAUAUCCAACCGACUCCCCCAAAUCCUCCUUCCUUCCUAUUUCAUUUCACAGUAAAGCGGUAAUAGUUGUUCCAGCUCUACAGUAUUAUUGGUGUUAUUUAACCAACAGCUAAUUGUCGCUGGCAGUGCUUAUCAGAACACUUAUAACAGAGAACACAAAGAUGUGGAAAAAAGGAUGAAAGAGGAGAGAGGACUUACCUGUAUAAAGGAAGUGACAUCAUAAGGAAGUGUGGAGUGUUUUGGUUUGAGGAGGUGGAUGGUGGAUUUCAGGGUGGAGGGGCACAGUAGCAUCAAGUAGUCACUCUCACCUGAGCCUUCAACCGGUUUCUCUGGACCAUAUAGAGCAUGGAGGCUCAGUGUAUCUGAACAGGCCUACUGAGCAGGCCUAUGUAACACACCUACUGUAUGAUGAUGAAGAACACUUACUCAGACUCUCAGAACUGUUAUAAUGAUCAACUCCUUGCUGUGUAGACUAUUUAUUAUUGAUAUGUAUUUAUUUAUUGUAGAUUUCUUCUUUCACUUGAACCUGAGCUUCAUAUAUGAUAUCAGACUGAAUGAAAGCAUUGUGCCAUGUUGUAUAACCCCUAGUUCUAUGUUACUGUCUGGAUACCUGUACUGCUGUUACGCUGAGUGGACACCUGUACUGCUGUUACGCUGAGUGGACACCUGUACUGCUGUUACGCUGAGUGGACACCUGUACUGCUGUUACGCUGAGUGGACACCUGUACUGCUGUUACGCUGAAUGGACACCUGUACUGCUGUUACGCUAAGUGGACACCUGUACUGCUGUUACUCUGAGUGGACACCUGUACUGCUGUUACGCUGAGUGGACACCUGUACUGCUGUUACUCUGAGUGGACACCUGUACUGCUGUUACGCUGAGUGGACACCUGUACUGCUGUUACGCUGAGUGGACACCUGUCCUGCUGUUACGCUGAGUGGACACCUGUACUGCUGUUACGCUGAGUGGACACCUAUACUGCUGUUACGCUGAGUGGACACCUGUACUGCUGUUACGCUGAGUGGACACCUGUACUGCUGUUACGCUGAGUGGACACCUGUACUGCUGUUACGCUGAGUGGAAGCUGGGGUGGAGGACAUUGACUGAGUAUGAGGAGUAACGGUGAAGGAACCAUGGAAAGCUGGAGGGAGGAAGGAGGGCAGUGGUUCUGCUGGACUGCAUUAUUCUUCACCCCCCUCUCUUUGUCUUUCUCUCUCCUCCUCUCCUGACUGGACUUCAGAUGGGAUAGUGUCCCUAAUUCUUAUUAUCCCAUUCUCCACACUAAAGCGGUACGGAAUCUUUGCACAGUCAGACCAAACACAGGGCCUAUAUAGAUGCUGUGUUUUUUGUAUUCCAUAGGGAUGAGACUGGAUCAGAGAUCCUUAGUUCUGUUGACUGAAGUGGAAUUCGGAUCAGAACUGCCAUUUUAUACAUUAUUAGUUAUGUCUUUCUUACACUGAGGACCGACCUUGUCACUUUGGCUGUUGUGCUAACCAUUGUUUUCCCAAUGUUUUAGGUUAGACCAGUGCUGUUGUAAUAUAGAAUUGUGAGAAGGUUUUUUACUUUCCUGGUCCUGUCUAAAAUAUUACUAUUAUUAUUUAUUUUUUAAUAAGGAAGCUAGGGCACUUUGUUGUAAAGAAUGGAAAUGUUAUAUAGUUGUUCUGUUUGUUUUGGGCAAUGUAAAGUGAAAGGUAUCUUUACUAGUUAUUAUAGUCAGGGCUUCAUAAAGUCAUCUUUUAUAGACAAUAGAAA